rnacentral:rRNA from 1 species
AUUGAACGCUGGCGGCAUGCCUUACACAUGCAAGUCGAACGGUAACAGGUCUUCGGAUGCUGACGAGUGGCGAACGGGUGAGUAAUACAUCGGAACGUGCCUAGUAGUGGGGGAUAACUACUCGAAAGAGUGGCUAAUACCGCAUGAGAUCUACGGAUGAAAGCAGGGGAUCGCAAGACCUUGUGCUACUAGAGCGGCCGAUGGCAGAUUAGGUAGUUGGUGGGAUAAAAGCUUACCAAGCCGACGAUCUGUAGCUGGUCUGAGAGGACGAUCAGCCACACUGGGACUGAGAUACGGCCCAGACUCCUACGGGAGGCAGCAGUGGGGAAUUUUGGACAAGGGGCGCAAGCCUGAUCCAGCAAUGCCGCGUGCAGGAAGAAGGCCUUCGGGUUGUAAACUGCUUUUGUACGGAACGAAAAGGCUCUGGUUAAUACCUGGGGCUCAUGACGGUACCGUAAGAAUAAGCACCGGCUAACUACGUGCCAGCAGCCGCCGUAAAAC